rnacentral:rRNA from 1 species
GACGAACGCUGGCGGCGUGCUUAACACAUGCAAGUCGAACGGAAAGGCCCUGCUUUUGUGGGGUGCUCGAGUGGCGAACGGGUGAGUAACACGUGAGUAACCUGCCCUUGACUUUGGGAUAACUUCAGGAAACUGGGGCUAAUACCGGAUAGGAGCUCCUGCUGCAUGGUGGGGGUUGGAAAGUUUCGGCGGUUGGGGAUGGACUCGCGGCUUAUCAGCUUGUUGGUGGGGUAGUGGCUUACCAAGGCUUUGACGGGUAGCCGGCCUGAGAGGGUGACCGACCACAUUGGGACUGAGAUACGGCCCAGACUCCUACGGGAGGCAGCAGUGGGGAAUAUUGCACAAUGGGCGGAAGCCUGAUGCAGCAACGCCGCGUGCGGGAUGAAGGCCUUCGGGUUGUAAACCGCUUUCGCCUGUGACGAAGCGUGAGUGACGGUAAUGGGUAAAGAAGCACCGGCUAACUACGUG